UAUUUUUUGUACAUUCUUAGCACAAAAUUCUCAGGAGCAUCUUGCUCAUACUGCCUAAUGUCAGCUUUCUUGUCACUCAGCUUAUUUUUCAUCACUAUAAAGGAUUUUGGGUUACAAGAGAUACAGAAAGUAUUGGGUUUGCAGUUGUCUAUAGCAAUCUUGGUGAUUGCUGCCCUGAGCACCUCAUAUGGUACUUCUCCAUCCGUCUCCUCAAGCCAGGCUGAAAUUGCCCUACCA
rnacentral:misc_RNA from 1 species